UACGUAGGGGGGCAAGCGUUGUCCGGAAUCAUUGGGCGUAAAGCGCGCGUAGGCGGCCCGGUAAGUCCGUUGUAAAAGUCGAAGGCUCAACCUUCGAAAGCCGAUGGAUACUGCCGGGCUAGAGUCCGGAAGAGGCGAGUGGAAUUCCUGGUGUAGCGGUGAAAUGCGCAGGAUAUCAGGAGGAACACCGUGGCGGCGAAGGCGGGUAGCUGGGCCGGAGCACGUCGACGGCUGAGGCGCGAAAGCCAGGGGAGGCGAACGGGAUUAGAAACCCUACGU
rnacentral:rRNA from 1 species